ACCGUGCCAGUAUACCGCGUGAUUGCAAUGGCUUUUUAUACACGUUCGUUGAGGCUACGUCGAAGCGGCGUAUCGUUGAAACACUCUGACGGUGGUUGAAAAAGAGGGAGGUGCUGCUGAAGACAUUGACGAUGGGUGGGGGAAGUUGGUCGCUAUGUUUUCUCUCCCCCCCCCCCCUCUCUCUCUCUCUCUCUCCGUAUACUUGGUUACAAUCAUCUCUACGGUUACAACUUUUUUUACAACAACGAGCAGCUGUGCAUAUACAGCAACGACAACGGCAACGAGCGACCGCUGCAUAGACAACGAAGGAAGGAGACAACGGCCGGCACCACAUUACUCGGAGCUUGCCUUCGGACCUAGCGAGAUCUGCGUAAAUACGGGCGAGUAAUUACGUUGCUGGAGGGAAAUUACCAGUUACCGGCUCGCCGUUGAGUUUUAUCCAAUUAGGGGAUUGCUUUGGCCACCCUGCAGAAUGUUCUCUCUCCCUAUUUCGGUCGCCUACUCUCGCUCUUUCAACUUCGUUUCAGUCUCUUUCGCUCUUUCCAGUCGGCUGCUAGUCGAAGCGAACAAAUUCCCUCGACGAGCGCCGUUUUCACUACUCGCGCGUCUUUUUUCAUUCUCUAUUUUUUUCCUUUACAUUCUCUUUUUCUCCCUUUUCUCUUUCGCUUUCCUACUCCCAUCAUGAUUCUCUUACUAUCAAAGUAGUACUACUUAGUCGACUUACUCGCGUAAGUUACCACUCGGUCAACGAUGGGAGCCAGGCCGAGCCGGUAUUUUAGAAAAGCGAAGCCAUUCUCGUCUCUAUAAAUAAAAGGGCUUUCGCGCUCGCAUCGCUCGUCACAUCGAUCGGACGCGAGGAGAUUCUGCGAUGGAAUCAAAGUGCUUUGUGAGUCUUGCGAGUGUUAAAUAUAGAAAAAAAAAAAAAAGAAAAAAAAAAAAGAAAAAAGAAAAAAAGAAGAAAAUAAAAUAAAGGAAAAAAAGCGAAGCGUACGCACGACACGACACGUAAACGCAAAGAUGUUUGAGGUCUAAUAAAGAGGAGUCGUCAAUGUCAUGGAGAAAAUGUUCGAACGAACAUUCGAAGGGAUAGGAAAGAGUUAACGACAGGAAGCAAACGAAAAUCGCUUCUCUUAUCUUAAAGCUGUAAUCUGUAAGCUGGCGUCAGCGGAUUAGCCGAGCCUGUAGUUUCCACGAAAUCCAAAGUUUUGAUCCCGAUGAGAGACGAGACGAAUGCUUAAACGUGCAGCGUAUAGCUGGAUGUAGAACACGUUCGUACAUAAACACAUGUAUGGAGAGAAGGGUGCCAGUAGUGAAGUACGGUGAAUGACCAGACAGUCGAAGGCUCGAUCAACCGCGUUGCCGGAUAUUACUGAUACCGAAGAGUAUUCGAUUUCAACGUAACUGGGGGAAGUUUCAUCCGAUUAAAUGGCACGCAACAACUUGAUGAAUCUUCUCUGAACAGGCAGAAUCGAAAGAUGUUGUUAAAUCUGAGAUGGACGUCUUUCGUGAUAAGAAAGAGGACGAUUUGCCGGUGGUCCAAAAAAAUGGGAGGGGACAUGCUGGCUGCAAGAUAGAUAGACGGAUAUAUAGACGGAGAGGGAGAGAGACAAAGAGGGGAGGAUUUGGAGUUCUGCCACAUCGGGAGCACCCUCCUGCCUCGAGAGCUCUACUGUGAUCACCGAUACCACACUACGGAACGUUCGCGGUUGGUACUCGUAGGGUUUGGAGGAGCCCGAAGAGAGGCACGACCCUCGAGAAGGAAACAGGUGGAACGAGACGAGACCGUGCUUCGAAGAAAAGCGUAAAUAUUGAUAAUUCCAGCCAACUAUACUUCUUCCUGUCGUCUAUACAGUAUGCUAAUAUAUUAUCAUAUCGAUUA